AUACGGGAGGCAGCAGUGGGGAAUUUUGGACAAUGGGCGCAAGCCUGAUCCAGCCAUGCCGCGUGCAGGAUGAAGGCCUUCGGGUUGUAAACUGCUUUUGUACGGAACGAAAAAGUUCUCUCUAAUACAGGGGGCGAAUGACGGUACCGUAAGAAUAAGCACCGGCUAACUACGUGCCAGCAGCCGCGGUAAUACGUAGGGUGCGAGCGUUAAUCGGAAUUACUGGGCGUAAAGCGUGCGCAGGCGGUUAUAUAAGACAGAUGUGAAAUCCCCGGGCUCAACCUGGGAACUGCAUUAGUGACUGUAUAGCUAGAGUGCGGCAGAGGGGGAUGGAAUUCCGCGUGUAGCAGUGAAAUGCGUAGAUAUGCGGAGGAACACCGAUGGCGAAGGCAAUCCCCUGGGCCUGCACUGACGCUCAUGCACGAAAGCGUGGGGAGCAAACAGGAUUAGAUACCCCGGUAGC
rnacentral:rRNA from 1 species